AUUGUUACACUAGAACAACGGAGGUAACGGACAAGCGCGAAGCAAUGUCUCCUUGCGCUAGCGCAUUUCUUGCACUUACGGGCACACGACGAAGAAGUCAAACUACAACACCAUGAAGCUCCUUCGCAGCAUCGCGUUAAUUUUCUGCGUAACUACGGCAACGCAUGCAAAUUGGGAGAGAGUGAGGCGUGUGAAGCCUCAAUUACUGGGAGGAUGGAGGCAGCACAAAUUUCCGUCUGCAUCGAACAAGUUUAUCCAGCUUGCCUAUCAAGCCUUCUCUGCCGCUCUCGGAGAACCUCACCUUCACGGAGUAAAUUUAAGAGUUUCGAAAGCUGCCACACAGGUCGUUGCGGGGCUCAACUAUAAGCUCGAAGUAGAACAGGCUCAAGUGAGCUGCGGUUUUCAGCAUCCGCAACCGCAUGGAACGUGGAAUCAUCCUCAAAGUCUCGUCUGUUUCACGGGAAAGGUUGUCGCUGUGUGCAACAUUGAAUUCUUUCAUUCACUUAGAGCACCGGUGCCAAAUAUUACAUCAUUUGAGUGCAAGCAACCGUCGUUCGAAGAAUAAAUGCAAUGCUCAGUGAAUGCAGGUAAACUGACAAAGCGGAAUGUUGUUCUGGACCCAGGCACCUUUUGUCGAUGCUACUUUGCUUGACUAAAAUAAAACGAAACUAUCCUUUGUCUUAAA